UACGGAGGGCUCAAGCGUUGUUCGGAUUCAUUGGGCGUAAAGGGUGCGUAGGUGGCGCCGUAAGUCGGGUGUGAAAUUUCGGAGCUUAACUCCGAAACUGCAUUCGAUACUGCGGUGCUUGAGGACUGGAGAGGAGACUGGAAUUCAUGGUGUAGCAGUGAAAUGCGUAGAGAUCAUGAGGAAGACCAGUGGCGAAGGCGGGUCUCUGGACAGUUCCUGACACUGAGACACGAAGGCCAGGGGAGCAAACGGG
rnacentral:rRNA from 1 species